rnacentral:snoRNA from 1 species
AAGCCAUGAUGUGGGCAUUGAGACCAAUAGCCCUUGAACCUCUCCCAAGCUUCACUAAAGCCCUUUAGGUUCUUCUGCUGAAAGCUAGAGAUCUCAUUCCUCAUCUU